ensembl:lncRNA
CGGGACCGAUUCAUCUGAAGGUUGUUGCCUGGGCUAGCGAGCGUGUGCCUCCUGCCGAGAAGGAAGCAGCCUCUGAUCUUAUUCUCGCGUUCUUUCUGCUGUUGUAUUUACCUCCCUGGAUCAUUAACACGGGGCAGGAUUUGGCUUUGCAGAAAAAGGAGAGACCUUCCUUCCGCCGCGGAGGAAAUUCCAACCUACGCUACCCUGAUCUCGAUUACUCUUGGCACAGUGAUCCUGCAGUCGUUCGAGCCCAGCGUCUUGGCUAGAUACAGAACUGAAGCCUCAGAACAACGGCCUCCAAUCCCUUCACUUUGCAGUCUUCAUCCGAGGGUCUGCUUCUGGGAACGCCCAGCCUAAGACACCACCGUGUGGAAUUGCAGGUACUGCAGGGGAUGGAGGAUAUUGACGGGGAGAGGUUGCAUCCAGUUGGAGAGACACAGAGAAAAAUGGGGACUGGAAGUGAUUUCGUAAGAACAGCAAUGAAAGAGACAAGGGACAUUUAACCUUAGGAAAUGACUUAAGGCAUACAAAGAUUUUUAAGUACCUGAAAUCCUGGUAGGCGGAAGAGAGGAUGGCUUGGUGAGUGUUGAUCCAGGGGGUGAUGGUGAACAGUGGAGAUUUGGCAUCUAUAUAGAGGCAAGCUGGGUGUCUCAGCCCUAGGAAAUGGAUAUAGCUUGGAGAUGGCAAAAAAAAAAAAAAAAAAAAAAAAAAGGCUAACAAAGCCAAGGCCUUAACAGAUUUAGACUCUUCAGAGUGGAGAUUAGUGUUGAGAUAAAGGUUUAUAAAAUGUUGAUGCUUUUAAGGCCAGAUUGCUGAUCAGGUGGCAGUUCCAAGUCUGAUUUUCUUCCUGCAUCACGGAGGACUCUCCCCCUCGACCUUCUGGAUGGCGAUUCCUAAUGAAUUUGGUGUGUCCCAACAUUUUCAAGGGGACCACUGUCUGCUUUGCCGCCUCUCAAGCAGAGGUUGUGGGGGUGAGUGAGAUAAUCACCUUUCUUUCCAGAGGCCUGGAAUAAAGAGGCUGCACUUAAAAGGAAAAGAGGCCUGGGCAUCUAGACACACUGAAAGCAGCAUUCUUAAGAACUACUGCAAACAUUGGAAUGUGAAUCCCUUAUUUGUUG